CUACGGGGCGCUGCAGUGAGGAAUAUUGCACAAUGGGGGGAACCCUGAUGCAGCAACGCCGCGUGGAGGAUGACGCAUUUCGGUGUGUAAACUCCUUUUAUAUGUCAAGAAAAUGACGGUAGCAUAUGAAUAAGCACCGGCUAACUCCGUGCCAGCAGUCGCGGUAAUACGGAGGGUGCAAGCGUUACUCGGAAUCACUGGGCGUAAAGGACGCGUAGGCGGGUUGGAAAGUCAGGUGUGAAAUCCUACAGCUUAACUGUAGAACUGCACUUGAAACUUCUAAUCUAGAGUAUGGGAGGGGGAGAUGGAAUUAGUGGUGUAGGGGUAAAAUCCGUAGAUAUCACUAGGAAUACCUAAAGCGAAGGCGAUCUCCUGGAACAUUACUGACGCUAAGGCGUGAAAGCGUGGGGAGCAAACAGGAUUAGAUACCCGUGUAGUC
rnacentral:rRNA from 1 species